AGUGAACGCUGGCGGUAGGCCUAACACAUGCAAGUCGAACGAGUGGCGGGCGGGUGAGUAAUGUCUGAGAAACCGCCCGAUGGAGGGGGAUAACUACUGAAAACGGUAGCUAAUACCGCAUACCAUCGGAUGUCCCCAGAUGGGAUUGGCUUGUAGGUGGGGUAACGGCUCACCUAGGCGACGAUCCCUAGCUGGUCUGAGAGGAUGACAAGCCACACUUGAACUGAGACACGGUCCAGACUCCUACGGGAGGCAGCAGUGGGGAAUAUUGCACAAUGGGCGCAAGCCUGAUGCAGCCAUGCCGCGUGUAUGAAGAAGGCCUUCGGGUUGUAAAGCCCUUUUGUUGGGGAAGCGGUACCCAAAGAAGAAGCACCGGCUAACUCCGUGCCAGCAGCCGCGGUAAUAC
rnacentral:rRNA from 1 species